CAGUUAAUUGAUUAGUUGGAUUAAUUGAUCUGUAAAUUUAGUUUUAAAAUGAUUAUAUUUAAAUGGUAAUUAUUUUUGUAAAGAUUUAAUUUAAAAAUGAAUGAAAGUUUGAUUUAGUUAUUAAAUUAAAUAAAGGUAGAUUUAGUGCCAGCAACAGCGGUUAUACUUAAUUUAUGAAUUAAUUUGUUUAAUUUUUGAAUUGAUGUUUGUUAUGAAGAAUGUUUAAUAAGAUUAAUUUAAUUUUGGUGAAAUAUUUUCUUUUAAUAAGUUAGACUUUGUUUAACUAAUAUUUGUUAACUUUUUAAUUAAACUAGGAUUAGAUACCCUAUUAUAGAAAUAAAUUUGAUUGAAUUGAUUAUUAAAUGUUGAUCAUUAAAAUUAAUAAAUAUGGCGGCUUUAUAAUUUAUUUAGAGGAAUUUGUGUGAUAAUUGAUGAGCCACAAUAGGAUAUACUAUAAUAAUUAUUAAUCUUUGUGUAUUGCUGUUUGAAGAGUUUAUUUAAAUAUUAUUCUUGUAUAAUUAAAUAAAAUAAUAAUUCAAGUCAAAAUGUAGGUUAUUAUAGACUAUAUGAAUUACAAUGAAUUAGAUUAUUGGAGGAAUUAUUUUAAUAUAAUUUUGAAAUUGGAUUUAAAAGUAAAGUUAUUGAAUUAAAUUUAUUGAAGAUAAUUUUAUUUAGUGUACAAAUUGCCCGUCAUUCUCAUUAUAAGUGAGGAAAGUCGUAACAUAGUAAAUGUACUGGAAAGUGUAUUUUGUGAAAA
rnacentral:ncRNA from 1 species